GGGCCCGCACAAGCGGUGGAGCAUGUGGUUUAAUUCGAUGAUACGCGAGGAACCUUACCAGGGCUUAAAUGUAGAACGACCGAUUUGGAAACAAGUCUUCUCUUUGAGCGGUCUACAAGGUGCUGCAUGGUUGUCGUCAGCUCGUGCCGUGAGGUGUCGGGUUAAGUCCCUUAACGAGCGCAACCCCUAUCUCUAGUUGCCAGCGGAUAAUGCCGGGGACUCUAGAGAAACUGCCCGUGCAAACGGUGAGGAAGGUGGGGAUGACGUCAAAUCAUCACGGCCCUUACGUCCUGGGCUACACACGUGCUACAAUGGUCGGUACAGAGGGCAGCUACCACGUGAGUGGAUGCAAAUCUCGAAAGCCGAUCUCAGUUCGGAUUGAAGUCUGCAACUCGACUUCAUGAAGCUGGAAUCGCUAGUAAUCGCGCAUC
rnacentral:rRNA from 1 species